UUACAUAUCAAUAGUGCGUUUUCAUAGGAAAUGCAACAUGGUAUAUCAAAAGGAGGUUCAAUAAUUAUACCAACAAACGUCACAACUAAUUAUUACUCUACCAUCCAGAUGAUGAGUCACAGGAAUAGGAAGUGUAUGAACAAUAUAGCAUAGCUUAUAUGUGCACAGUAAGUCACGCAUGAAGCGAGUUUACAUAACCGAUACAACUCAUUCAAUCAGGACUAUUGAUUAUGGAAGCACAGAAGUCGAGUUUGUAAAGUGCCCAAUUCACCUGCAAAGAGGGGCAAUCUCGGGCAAGCCCACAUAGACCAUUCCACUACAUGGUAGAGAUCAGGUGCACAAUGUAAGAAUGCCUGAUGGUGUCGGGGCUCGCCUCUAUAACCCAACAUACUUGACCUCCCUCCAACAGCCUCUUGAGUUCACCAAUCUACAACAAAACCAGCCCCAUAAGAGCACAUAAUCACACCAAAUGGCAAGGUAAGUAUUCCCUGGCAAGUAGUGGACCAGAAAACUCUGACUGGAGCUACAUGAUAUUAGAUGCAACUUUUCAUCUCAACCAUAUGCGAAUACUGAUGGAAGAUGCAAUACUUAUUAGGCACAUGUAGAAUGAGGUAUCAAAAGAGCAAGUGGUACAGAAAAGAAGUGAACCAACAUGAUAAAAGAGGGCAAAGUGUUAUGGCAGACCUUUUAUUUUCAAAGAGUUGAUGAGCUGGAGACCAUAUAAUUUUGAAGGUCUAACCAACCGUGCAUACCAUGGUUUCGUGCUUGGAACUCUCUAAGCAUUAUAAGUGCGGUCAAUAUAAAAUUGUAGAGCACUUGCAACCAAGAAAAACAUGUAAACAUGACCCAAACAAUAUAAAAGUAAAUCCGACCUCACCAAUUGAAUCUCAAACCCUGGUAACAUUCUUAAAACAAUAAAUCGUUUACAAUAUAUUGCAAUUUGAACCACUAAUUGUUUCGAACAUUAGGCAAUUUCUUAGAGCACUCCCAUAUCAAUUUGAAUCACUAAUUUAUGUUGUGUGAUGGGAAACACUGAUUUAGAAGAUAUAACAAUGUUUGAUUUGAAAUCAUAUAUGCUAAGGCAUCACAUCAACACAAGUAAGGCCUGGGCAGUUUCUACUUGGUUCCUCUGCUUAAAACUCUCACACAAUAAACAACACAAUGUUUGUUAGCAGCUAAAGGCUCUCCCGGAAAGAAGGAAAAAAAACAUUGCUACAUGAUCUUACAUUCAUAGGCAUCAUAUGCAGAGUAUCUUAUAAGUUGUACAAAACAAACAACAACACACUACAGUAGAUACGCAUGCGCAAUGAGACCCCAAGCUAUAGGACCGGUAGCUUGGUUUAAGUUACUUUGAGGAAAAAGACAUCCGGUUCUUCGCCUCAAAAUGAUUUGCCUGUAUGAAUAUCAGAAUAUGGUUCUGAAACCAUGGUACUUAACUGGUUAGUACGUUUUAUCAUCAUAUUAAUUCAAUUGCUCUGAGAAUGCAAAAGGGUAACCAAUAACUGGAAGAACCAUAUAUUCGGCUUCCGCCAUGUCAAUGUUUAAUUGAUUGGGCCAUAUACAAGCCUUUUACCACGGGUUGUUCCUUUAUUUUGCUUCAGGGUAGACAGGAAUGCCAUAAACGUGUGCUUAGCACUGUUUGCUAAGGAAGGGAAACAGAGGCUAGGCGUGGUAUUUAUCAGCGAUUCCGGUAUCUAAACCAGAAAUCCAUAAUAUCUGUAAGACCAAAUCAACUAAACCGCAUGUCCGCAUGUGUAUUAUUUAACCAUGCGGAAGUUUCUUUUAAAAAUGCACUUUCAACAAAAUGAUUAAUGGACCAUCACACGUACUGAUCGUUAUCAGAAUCAGAAAUUCCGACAGACUUCGCCAAGGUGCAGCUAGGAGGAUCAGAAAGUCCAACAGAAAGAUCACCCGGAUAUAAAAUCGAAAGGUCUUGGACAGCAGCAAUAGUUCAAUCAUAAACUGAGCUAUUUAUGAUUGAAACUGCAAUCUAACUAUUCUGAUAUGAUGGCAGUCAAAACUAAAUUACUAUUAGUCAAUCAUGAACUAUAUGCACUACAUAGAUACCCUGAGAAUGUACAUACAGGUGCGACAGAUUGGUAAUAUAAUAAGGUGAGGAAGAAACAUGCUACCAAGUCCGUGGCAGCCUGCAGUGUAACAUGAUCACCUCACUGUCCAUCUCUAGUUGGUUCAGUAAUAAGCAUAAAAAUGUACGAACAGUUCAUCCUUCCACUCUAAUUGAUAAAUAUUUACUGGUAAAUAAAUAGUGAAAAGGAGCAGGCACCGAC
rnacentral:lncRNA from 1 species